UUUAAUCUCACUCUGCCUAACGUCUGAGGUCAUUCUCCUCGAUCAAUCUUUAGUUUUUUCCCCUAAAGAAUCGUAGUUUUUUCUCCAGUAAAGCUUCUUCUCUUUCUUCUACCACCUGAUUCAUAAACACCGAAGAGUUGAAAAUUUUCUUUUAAAAUUUCAUAGCAUCUUUGCCAAUCUCUCAAAACUAACUGUUCCACUUCUUUUAUCACCAAACGCUUGGGUCCGGCCCGACAUCUCUUCUGUUCCUUCUUCCUGUUUUUUUAAGGUUUCUCUUCUUCCAAUGGCUAGAGUUAAAAUCCCUUCCAAGAAACCCAAAAAAGGUCCAGAACCACCUUUUCAAAGUGAGUUUGAAUCCGUGGAGCUCUCUGAUUAUUCUUCCUCAAAAUCUCAAUAUGCUUCAGUCCCUAUCUCUUCAGAGGAACAUCUCACUAAGUAUCAAAAGGAGAAAGCCAGGGGGGAAAAGGAAAAUGGACAACCAAUCUACAUUUCCACCACCAUAGAAAACAAAGCAUCAGCCAGUGUUGGUGGAACGCCCAUUACUUGAAUGCAGGCAUAUUGAUUGGGAUGUUUUUGAAUAUAUUGAAUUUCCUAUGAAAAGUCUAUUUGAACAUCAAUAAUGGAGCGAGUAUUGUGGCACUGCUGAUAUUCAUUGUCUUGAAUUGGUUCAAGAAUUUUACACUACUUUGAAAAGAAAUCACACCUAGAGAAAAAUUUGAAUUUAAGCAUAGAGGUCUUAAAGUAUAAAUUAUCCUUGAAUGAUUUGCUGUUGCUUUUGGAGUGCCAAAUAAAGGAAAUAAGAUAGGGAGCAAUAAGGAUAUUGCUUACAUUAAGGGAUUUAACAAAACUGAUUUUGAAAAUGAAAUAUUUGAGGACAAUAUGCCUUGAAAUAUUUUAUGGCACCUCAUGUCCAAGACUUUGUUGAAUUUGCCUUGAUAUUGAAAAUGAUGGUGAAACCUAGCCCUUAUCAAAAGCUACCCUAUGUUGUGCCUUUAAUUUCUUUAUUUCAUAACCUUGGCUUUGAUAUUGAAAAUGAAAAGCACAAGACAAAUUUGAUUGCCAUACGGGAGCUUCAAAGUGAUGAUGAUAGGAGAAAGAAUAAAUUAGAAAAAGGUAAGGGAAAAAUUGAUACCUCUGAAACUCAAGUGCAUUUGUCUCGAGGGAAAAGAAAUAUGAAAGAGCUUAAAGGCAUAAAGGAAAUUUCCUAUUCUAAUGUGAAUUCUGUUGAAGUGUUUAUGGAAACUCAAAAGGCUUUCAUGGUCAAACUUGAAGGUAAAAUUGAUUUGGUUUUUUCCAAGCUUGAAUAUUUUUAAAAAGAGAUUGAAAAUUUGAAGCAAAGCAAAGAAAAGGUAUUGCAAGUGAAACGAAUCUGAAUGAUGAUAUUGAUGCAAGCAAUGACGGUACAGCUGCGGGUGAUUCCAAGGAUGGUAAAGAUGAUAGCGCUGAUGUGGAGCAUUCUGAUCCUUUGAAGGAUUCUGAUGAUAGGAUAUUUAUUACAUACAUGUAUAUAUAUUUAUACAUACACACAUCUGUUUUUAUUCUUAUUUAGAGAUUCAAUUGAGUUUUGUCAUUAUCAAAAAGGAAAAGAUUGUUGACCUUAUAGCUCAAAAUUAGCAUUGAUUUUAAUGAUAACAAAACUUAACUA
rnacentral:lncRNA from 1 species